rnacentral:rRNA from 1 species
GACGAACGCUGGCGGCGUGCCUAAUACAUGCAAGUAGAACGCACAGUUUAUACCGUAGCUUGCUACACCAUAGACUGUGAGUUGCGAACGGGUGAGUAACGCGUAGGUAACCUGCCUGGUAGCGGGGGAUAACUAUUGGAAACGAUAGCUAAUACCGCAUAAUAUUAAUUAUUGCAUGAUAAUUGAUUGAAAGAUGCAACUGCAUCACUACCAGAUGGACCUGCGUUGUAUUAGCUAGUAGGUGAGGUAACGGCUCACCUAGGCGACGAUACAUAGCCGACCUGAGAGGGUGAUCGGCCACACUGGGACUGAGACACGGCCCAGACUCCUACGGGAGGCAGCAGUAGGGAAUCUUCGGCAAUAGACGAAAGUCUGACCGAGCAACGCCGCGGGAGUGAAGAAGGUUUUCGGAUCGUAAAGCUCUGUUGUAAGAGAAGAACGGGUGUGAGAGUGGAAAGUUCACACUGUGACGGUAUCUUACCAGAAAGGGACGGCUAACUACGUG